rnacentral:lncRNA from 1 species
AGAAGUCCUGAUGUCUGAGUAUUUGAAAAGUCAACUCCCAGCCAAAGCCCAAAUUCCUCGGCCAUAGCCCAAAGAAACCCUAGUUCAUAAACCUCAUUGCUACGUCAUUCUCCCUUUUGGUUCACUUUCUCAGUCACUGCUCUCAAAACCCCAGCCACCUCGAACAAUGCCGCCGAAGUUUGAUCCCAGCCAGGUCGUUGACGUUUUUGUCCGCGUCA